CCCUUAGAUGUUCUGGGCCGCACGCGCGCUACACUGUUCGACGCAGCGAGUCUUAACCUUGACCGAAAGGUUUGGGUAAUCUUCAGCAAAGUCGAACGUGAUGGGGAUCGAUCAUUGCAAUUAUUGAUCGUGAACGAGGAAUUCCUAGUAAGUGCAAGUCAUCAGCUUGCGCUGAUUACGUCCCUGCCCUUAGUACACACCGCCCGUCGCUACUACCGAUUGAAUGGUUUAGUGAGAUCUCUGGAUUGACGCUGGCUAGGGGGCGACCCUUGGCCAGACUGCUCGAGAAACUGCUCAAACUUGAUCAUUUAGAGGAAGUAAAAGUCGUAACA
rnacentral:rRNA from 1 species